GUCACAUCAUGGUGAAUACAGCUGUUGAUACUCUUACCAGAGCAGCCUUAAGUCAAAAUUGAGUAACACUGUGACCAUCACUGUGGUGCACUUGCAGCAGCCCAGUAUUUCUCCCAGUGCUCCUGAUGGAGGGUUUGUUGUGGGCCCUCAGGGGCCAGUGAUCACCAGGGGCCACAGUUUCACUAUCAUCUGUUCCACUAAAUCUCGAUAUUCUGGAGGCUCCUUCUACCUGUUCAGAGAAUCAAAUAUCAGCAGGAUUCAGCCGUCUGUCAGUCUCUCUGCCUCCUUCUCCUUUCCUGAGGCAGAUUAUUCAGAUGAGGGAAACUACAGUUGUGUUUAUGAAGUCAGUGUCUCCUCACGCUCCUUCCGUUCCUCUGGCUCUGAACUGCUGCUCAUCACUAUCACAGCGUCUCUGCUUCCUGCUGUCAUUGGUGCUGCACUUUCAGCUGGACUGAUCUUACUGGCCGUCCUCAUCAUCGUCCUGUUUCUUAAGAGGAGACAGAAGAAGAAAGAAGAUCGUUCUAAGUGCUCUUUUAAA